CCAUGUUAACCAGCUUGGCUAUAAGGAUGUCCGGGAUGAUGGUAUUAAACUCUGAAUUAAAAUCGACGCAUCCUUACUGAAGUCCUAGGAUUCUCUAGAUGUUGCAGAGCAGAGUGGAGGGCAAUUGAAAUUGCGUCUUUGGUGGACCUGUUUGCCUUAUAGGCAAACUGAUGGGGGUCAAAGCCAGGUAGGAGGCAGUCCUUUAUGUGCUUUAGGACCAGCUUCUCAAAACACUUUGCAACCACAGGUGUCAGUGCAAUGGGUCUGUAGUCAUUGAGGCUACUGAUGGUAGAGGACUUGGGGACUGGGACUAUAAUUGCAGAUUUCAAGCAGUGAGGGACGUUGGCUUGUGACAGGGAUACGUUAAAAAGUCUGUUGAACACAGGAGACAACUGGUCAGCACAUACUUUGAGCACAUUCCCAGGUAUUCCAUCAGGGCCAACAGCUUUCCUCUGAUUUACUGCUCUGAAUAUAUUAUGGACCUUGUUAGGGUUAUCUUCUUCUAAAGAUACGUUAGAAACCAACCACAGACAGCUGUGAUGACUUUUUACUUGCUGCAAGGGAAGUCUGGUGCUGACUUCGAGGUGUCAGCCUCUCAGUCGAACUCAGCCAACUUCGAAAGAGGAACUCCCCUCGCAGUAUCUUUUAUUGGGGUACACAAACAGGAUAUGCAAAUAACAUUCAACAUUGUUUAUCACCAUGUAUGGGGUGGAAAUAUUCAAGCGACAGUUCUUAAGAAGGGUUAUUGCUAAGUUAAGAUCAAGCUGCUGCAGGGAGUUAUUUCUAAGAAAUGGCAUCUAGCAAAAUGACAAUAAAAAAAGUACAUAUUUCUCUAACAGACCUGAUAUUCUUGAAGGGUGAGUGUGUGUGGGCUGAGCUCAGAGGAGGCUAUGGGCAGGGUAGUUUGCAUGGAAGGAGUGUCUACAGUUAUCUCAAAGUGAGUAAAGAAGUGGUUUAAUUCCUCUGCUAAUGAGAUGUCCAUGUUUCCCAUAUAUGUCCCGCUGCCUUUGUAAUUAGUAAUUUGUUUCAGUCCCUCCCAUACCUUUCUGGGGUUAUUGUCUGAGAGGUCAUUCGAUAGCUUAAUUGAAUAGGCCCAUUUUGCUUCUCUGAUGCCUUUUUUAAGGUCUGCUCUUACCUGGUCCCCAGAUUUAUAAGUAGAGUUUAUAGAGAGAUUAUUUUUUAACACAUCUAUAGUUAUGCGGUGGCCCAGAGUUAGACCUCUUGACUCCACACAGAAACAGCAACGCGUGCGGCAUGACAUCACUUUGUUGCAGAGACGCUAUUGGUUAAAUGCUGGCAAAGUAGAACACAGAAGCAGCUUGAAGUGGAAAGCGCGAGUAUGUCUGCGGUCUGGAGGUAUUAUAAAGUUGAUGACAACAACAUUGCCAUAGCAAACUGUGAGAUAUGUAAACUUGGGAUUGCAAGUGGUGGAAAGGAAAAGGCUACAUUUAACACAACAAACCUAAUACGGCACCUCAAAAACAAACACCCGACACAAUACAGCGAGUUUACCCAGGUAACCCAGCCGAAGACGAGUCAGCUCACGCUGCAGGAGAGUUUGAAGAGGAGAGAAAAAAUGCCCCGUGACAGCGCGAAGGCACAGGACAUCACAGCCAAGAUAGCACAAAUGAUCGCAAUGAGUGACCUGCCAUUCGCCUUUGUAGAGAACCCUGGAUUUCUUAUACUUAUGGAGCACGUAGAACCUCGAUUUGAUAUGCCGUCUCGCCACUAUUUCACCGAGAAAGCUCUGCCAGCCCUUUAUAAGAAGAUUUCUGACAAACUACUUGUCCUGUUAUCAGAUGUACCCUAUGUUUUGUUCACCACAGACAUCUGGAGUUCGUCCGUAGCUCCCAUGUCUCUACUAAGCCUUACCGCAUAGUGGAUUGACUGAAGUUUUGUUUUAUGCCGUGCGAUCCUACAUGUCCAGGAAUUUCGCGGAUCGCACACCGCAGAGCGCAUCCAGGAAUCGGUGGAAAAGAUGAUAAACAACUGGGGAAUUGACAAGCAACGGGUCCACGUAAUUUUGCGUGACAACGUGGCAAAUAUGAAGAAAGCUAUGAGGGAUAUGGGGGUGCCGAGUGUGGGCUGUGUCGCCCAUUCCUGUCAACUCUGUGUGCAUCAGGGCCUGCUGUCUCAGCGCAGCGUGACAGAGACCCUGGCCAACGCAAGGAAGAUUGUAGGCCAUUUUAAACACUCCCCAUUAGCCUACUCUCGACUAGAAGACAUACAGAUGGGUCUAAAUAUGGAUAUCAAGCGCCUACAGCAAGAUGUACAGGUGAGAUUCCUCGCGUAACUUUCUUUAAUGUAUUUCUAUUUUAUUAUUGUUUCCCAUACACUUGAUUUAGUAAGCCACUAAUACAUUAUGUGCUCUGCACCUAAUUUGCACAAAAAUAAAGUGAAUCAUGUUCUCUUAUGUGCAGACACGAUGGAACAGCAGCCUCUACAUGCUGCAGAGCCUACUGCAACAAAAACGUGCUCUUAGUGUCUUUGCAGCUGAGUGCACUCUACCAGCAACACUGACAGUUCACCAGUGGGAGCUGAUGAAUAAGACUGCUGAUCUGCUAUCCCCCUUUGAAGAGCUGAUCAGAGUGUGAGCAGGGAGACUGCAACUGCAGCUGAUGUGAUCCCUGCCAUAACAGUCCUCAGACGUGUUCUGUCUCGGGAGGAUGAUGAUGACCAGGGAAUAAAAACAAUGAAGAGGACUCUGCUGGAGGCCGUGCUUCAGCGCUUGGCUGAUGUUGAAACUGAGCCACUCUUCUAGAUCCCAGAUACAAAGAUGGCUUUUUCACAACGUCAGCCAACCUGUUGCUUGCAAAGGAACACCUUAUCCAGGAGGUGGCAAAGACAGAGGGAAGGAGGGCUGUCAGUGCAGUGCCAGAGGAAAAUGAGGCUGCAGCAGAGCCAGUGAGCAAGGCACCACAUCAUGAAGCAUGUAGCAGCCGGGACAUCGCCUUUGAGGAAAUCUUACAAGAGAGGCAGUCACAGGGAUGGUCUGUGAGUACCACAUCAGCAGAAACUCAAGUGCAGACCUACCUCUCAGAAAAAAACACCCCUAAGAAAAGCGACCCACUUCAGUACUGGAAAGAACAUGCUAAUCAUUUUCCCUCUAUGGCUGCUGUUGCAACCCAGUAUCUCAGGGCCCCCUGCAGCUCUGUGGACAGUGAGAGACUUUUUAGUGCCGUUGCAAACGUCCUUGAUGAGAACAGAAACAGGCUCAAACCUGACAAGGUAGAGAUGUUAGUUUUCAUUAAGAAAAACAUACAUUUCCUUCUGUGAAACUUACUACUGUGAUGACAGUAAGAGUUAGGAGUGCAGUUCCUAAAAGCACAUUACUGUCUUUGCAAACACUGUGGCACUUUUAUUUUUUUUGUUUACAUGCCUGCCAGGUAUUUUAAG